GAUGAACGCUGGCGGCGUGCCUAAUACAUGCAAGUCGAGCGAACGGACGAGAAGCUUGCUUCUCUGAUGUUAGCGGCGGACGGGUGAGUAACACGUGGAUAACCUACCUCUAAGACUGGGAUAACUUCGGGAAACCGGCGCUAAUACCGGAGAAUAUUUUGAACCGCAUGGUUCCAAAGUGAAAGACGGUCUUGCUGUCACUAAUAGAUGGACCCGCGCUGCAUUAGCUAGUUGGUAAGGUAACGGCUUACCAAGGCAACGAUGCGUAGCCGACCUGAGAGGGUGAUCGGCCACACUGGAACUGAGACACGGUCCAGACUCCUACGGGAGGCAGCAGUAGGGAAUCUUCCGCAAUGGGCGAAAGCCUGACGGAGCAACGCCGCGUGAGUGAUGAAGGUCUUCUGAUCGUAAAACUCUGUUAUUAGGGAAGAACAUAUGUGUAAGUAACUGUGCACAUCUUGACGGUACCUAAUCAGAAAGCCACGGCUAACUACGUG
rnacentral:rRNA from 1 species